UAAGUUUCUUCGCUUAAUUAGCGUUUGUUUCUAAUGGAGAAGCAGAUAUUUAGCAAAAUAUGGAAAUAAUGCUUUGUUAUAAACAUAAAAAUGGAGCCCAAAAGCGAAGAGAAAGAGUAAAGAGAAAGAAAUGGACAGCGCAAAGCAAACAAGAGGAGAUAAUAUUUUUUGUUUUGUUUUGUUUUGUUUUUUACACCUGGUCUUUCCUUGACAACAAACUCUGUGAAAAGUUUGUGGUUGUGUGCCGCUCGGACAUCACAAAGGGACGUUAAAGACUUGAUGCAACAACAGCGGCCGGAAGAAAAACAGAUGUACUUGACAAAACGUAAAGUUUAGAUCUGCGUAUUCUGUGGUACAAGGUCCAGUUCAGAGUUCAUCAUCCACAACACGACUUUUUCUUCACAAUAAACAGACCAACACCUUCAUCAGGUUU